AUAACGACUCUCGGCAACGGAUAUCUUGGCUCACGCAUCGAUGAAGAACGUAGCAAAAUGCGAUACUUGGUGUGAAUUGCAGAAUCCCGUGAACCAUCGAGUUUUUGAACGCAAGUUGCGCCCGAAGCCAUCUGGUUGAGGGCACGUCUGCCUGGGCGUCACGC
rnacentral:rRNA from 1 species